AAUAUAGGUCACCCAUCAAUGAGAAGAAACAUGUAAAUAAUGGAACUUGAAUAACGUAAAUAGCCGAAACAAAGGCAGGCACAUUUGCAAGGAGAAAUUUUCCAAGACUUGCUUCUAAUUUCUAAGAUGACACUACAAAGUAGAUGAUGUUCAUGCCAUAACUACAAUCGAACACAAGCACAUAAAACUGAGGUAUCAACAACAGAAACCUUCACCUAUACGCUCUUGUACAUAAGCCCGUCUUGCAAUGCCAGACCAGCCAAAACUUACCCUUUCACAUCUCUACAUUUCUUUACCCUCAGCUUCACAUGCAUCACUCUUCAGCACCUUCAAUCUUCUGUAACCCUUGUCAGUACCAAAUAACCAGUCCAUGUAAACAAAUGUUGAAGAAUAAUUUCCAGACUUUGUGUAGAGCAGUCGGUGAUGAUAAUCAUGAAAAUCAGCCCCCCCAUAUAAUGGCAAGAAGUUUGAUAGGCUCCAUGGGAAAUGGUAACCACAAUGUGCUUCAACUGUCUCAAGGACUCUAACUAUCAUCCACAACCAUAAUGUUAUCAAAUGGGGCCCAGUAAUGAUUGGACCCACUAUUGUAGCAAAUCCAAGAAAAAGAAUUUCAGCAGGGUGAGCAUAUUCAGAGGUCAAUCCAAAUGGUGUUGCAUACUCGUGAUGGACACUGUGGACAUGCUUGUAGAGCCAUUUAGUAUGUAAAAUCCUGUGUCCCCAAUAGAAUACAAAAUCCUCCAGGAUAAAGUAGAAUAAUACUUGCGUAGAGAUCACUUUCCAGGACGGCAACGGAAGAGUAUUUCGCAUCCCCAUUAAUUUGAAGACUGGAUAGGAUGCCAUCAUAAGCGGGAGAUUAACACAAAAAUGAUACAGCAACAGGCGAGUGAUACAUUUCUCCUGAGCUGCAGGAGUAUUAUUUUUUGUCUGAAUUUUAUAUUUGCUCAACCAUCCUGCCCUUUCUAGAAGAAUGAAAGGAAG
rnacentral:misc_RNA from 1 species